CUGUGGUCCUCACCUGCCUCUUCAUUCAGAUUUCCCCCAAGAGAUUCAGGGGAAACAAAGAGAACCCAAACAUCUUCUGGCAUUAGAUCAGCUCUCCCGGGCGGGGCCAGUGAGCUCCCCCAGGGACUCUGCCCAGAGACUUCUGGGUGACGGGCACCUCAGUGGAAGGUGAAGGGAGGUCCCAGACAGCUGGAAUGAGCUGCCCAGGGCUGUGUGGAUGUCCCCUCCCCUCAGCACCCCAGCCUCUCAGUCCCCUCAGGGCCGUGGCCUAGACAUGGGUCUCAGCCCUCGUCACUUGAUUUCAGCUGCUGGUUCUCUGUGGUCACUUGUGAACGGAGACAGUUAUGGGAGAACAGAGUCCUUGACCUUCCAUGGCCUCACUGAAUCCUCACUGGACCCUCUCACCCUUGGAUUGGACAGACCUCUCAGCUCAUGAAGCCUAGACGGGGACAGGAGAAUGGCUUACUGAUGAAGUCGCCCAUUGCUCCAGAUAUAUGAGACAGGAAACGUGAAUUAUAUACACACACAUAUACAAAUACUUAAUUGUUAUAUGUAUAAAUACAUAUUAUA